UUUUUUCUGGAUCCUUGAAUUAGCAAGAUAUUUGGAAAUGGCAAAGUUUCUGGUGAAAUUAUAUGGAAUGUCUGUCACAACUCACAUGCAACUCUUUUUGCGUACAUCAAUCAACCGACUUGGAUCAUAUGAGUCCUAAGAGGAAAAACACAGAGCUGAUGACUAUAGGUGACUAGCGUGCAUUCAUGGUAGUGACUGACAACAACCUACCAAUGGAUUCCGUACUAUCUAUGUUACUAUGUACAUGUUCAUUAUUAGUUGUCAAUUUCCAAAUCUUUCAAAAGGCUUGAAACUACAGCCCAUUUUCCUUGUGUUGUUGAUCUAACACGGUUCCUCUUGUAUCGGUCACCUGCUUUAGUAUGGUAGAAUAUUCUUAGCUCUGUAAGACGACUAUAUAUGCCAUUUCUGUACACUUAUGUGCUUCUUUGCUUAUGUAAUUGCAGGGCUUGAUAAUAAGAAAAUUAUAAUCGAUAAGCAACCUCUAUCUUGGGUUCACUUUCAGUGUUUUUCCUUUGUUUAUUCCUAUACUAAUCUGUUGCUAAGCCUGCUUUACAUGUGCCUAUAUAUCUGCACCCAUCUACAUUUUGUCUAAAAGAGCAGAACAAAGACAUAUGGCUAAUUAUUGGCAUGCCGUGUUUCGAAAUCCAUAAUUCUCAAAAAUAUAUUAUUUUGGAAUCCACUUCCCAGUGUCAAAAUGGCGAAGAGUUUUAUCCCUUCCUUCGGAAAAUAAACUUUCGAGUUUCCCUACUGACUGGCAAUAUAUGCAUUAUGCUUUGCAAAAUGGAUUUUUAGAAUGCUUCGCAAAAUGACAGAAAUUGGAGAAGAAUUUUUAUCCUUCCUCUGGGAAAUAAACCUAUGUGUUUCCCUACUUGUUGGAGGGAAAUAUUAACGAUCUCCCCUAGCCCAUGGAAUCAACAAAACGUAAAGGUCCAGGCCCACCUAAGGUGGCAAGAUUGCCGUCGGCCUAAUAUGGGAGGGAGAGGCCACGUUCCGCCUCGCCCGACCCGGAGCCCCGGGGUCGGACGUUCCCGACCCCUUGAAGACUAAACUCCGCCUCGCCCGACCCAGAGGACCGAGGUCGGGAGCGCCCGACCCCCGCCGCAAAACUCCGCCUCGCCCGACCCUGGGCGCGGGGGUCGGACUCGCUCGGGUCCACAAGAUAAAUAUCCGCCUCGGGCGCGGACUGGAGGAUCAGGGUGCCGAUCUCGUGGGUCCCCCUAUCGACCUCGCCAUAAAUGUGUCGCGGCCCUGUCAUGCAGAAAGGGAGUGGCGCCCCCAACGUAACCUAUCACGAAUACCCAUGCGCGGCCGUGCGGUGCGAGCUGCAGUGGCCACGGCUCCCUCUGAUUUGCCGCAGGGUACUCAUGGCCCGCGCCGAACGGCACAGGAGGGCGCUCCGCUCGUUCUCGCGCCCCGCGCUCCCGUUGACAGGGAUGCGACAUCUGCAUCUCACGGGUAAUCAGCAGGGUAACAGAAUCGGCCAUUCUCCCCGGCGAGCACGGAUGCCAAGGCUGAGGAUCAUCAUCGUGCUCGGCAGCAACGGCGACCGGAGAGAUCAUCGACGGGAUCUGGAAGAAACCGCCCUCCCUCGACGGACGCGCUGACAGGGACCGGAGGCCGGAGCGAGAACGGCGGCCCUAGGACCCUCUCCUUAUGUCAUAUUUUACUUAGCUUAUCCCUUUCUACUUCUCCUCAUGCCUGCCUCAUCUGUAACCCUGAGUUCCAUCCUUGCGCUAUAAAAGGAGGACCGGGGGUCCUGAGACGGGGGACACUCUCUCUCUCUGAAGCAAGCAGAACACACUCGCACCCACUUAGAGUACCAUUGCACUCUCAAGAGACCUGGGAUCAGCUCCCUCUCUCGCCCUCCUGUAACCCCUACUACAGAACCCCGCGUGGGUAACAUGAGCAGCCUCAAUACUGGACGUAGGGCGUUCCUUUGCCCGAACCAGUCUAACCCCGUGUCUCCCACGCCACCAUCCGAAGCCUUACGCGCAUAAAAGAAAUUUACUAGUCUAAGUCUUGAUCCGCAAAUCCUGACAAUGACACUACUGACUUUGCAAAAUGAAUUUCUUGAGCACUUCACAAAAUGGAUUCACUUCUGAUGUCUUGUUGUGAUGCAGAAAUUGUGGCAAGCACAUCAUGCCUUCUAUUUCUGAGUCUACUUAUUCUCGCGUUCUUCUUGACCUGCAAAUAUGGUUCGCUACCCUUUAAAUCAAAGAACAAACCAAGGAUUGAAUCCUUUUACACAAAAGAAUGGGAACCUACAGCCUUAAAGAUACAGUUAUGCAGAUGUGAAAAGAAUGAUAAAGUUUUUUGCUGUUAAGCUAGGCCAAGGUGGAUUUGGUGCUGUAUACAAAGGUAACCUCUCUAAUGGCGGCCAGGUAGCAGUAAAGAUGCUAAAGGACGUCAAGGGUGAUGGGGAGGAAUUUAUGAAUGAGGUGGCUAGCAUUAGCAGAGCUUCCCAUGUCAAUGUUGUUACCCUUCUAAGAUUUUGUUUGGAAGGAUCCAAAAGGGCUCUCAUUUACGAGUACAUGCCUAAUGGUUCACUGGAAAGGUAUGUCUUCAUCAGCAAUUUAAACAGUGAAAAUACAUUAAGCAGGGAGAAAUUAUUUGACAUAGCAAUUGGCAUUGCUAGAGGACUUGAAUAUCUCCACCGAGGAUGCAUCGUGUAUUUUGAUAUCAAACCCCAAAUAUUCUAUUAGACCACGAUUUUCACCCUAAGAUUUCUGAUUUUGGAUUGGCCAAGCUAUGCCUGAAUAAAGGAGAGCGUUAUCUCCAUUGGUGGUGAAAGAGGAACAAUUGGAUGCAUUGCCCCUGAGGUGUACUCAAGGCAAUUUGGAAUAGUAAGUAGAAGGUCUGAUGUCUACAGUUAUGGUACGAUGGUGCUUGAGAUGGUUGGGGCAAGAGACAAGAAUAUCAAUGCAGAUAGUGAAUCUAGUAGCCAGUGAUGACUAUUGUAUGAGUGCUUCUGAGAUAAAUGGCGGGACCAGAGAGCUUGUGAGAAAGAUGACAGUGGUAGGUUUGCGGUGUAUACAAGUGAUCCCAACUGAUCGUCCAACAAUGACUAGAGUCGUGGAGAUGCUGGAAGGCAGCACAAGUAAUCUUGAACUGCCACCCAAAGUGCUCUUGGGUUGAUAUGCAUCAAUAUGUUCCCAACAAAAAUGUUACUCACUGAAACUAAUUUGCUCAAGUGCAAUUAUUUGUUGUACUUUUUUUUAAAAAAAAGCAAGAAUCAAAUGUUACUUUUGCUAUGUAAACCGAGAUGGAACUAUGAAUUGCUGACCAAGGGUGGUCAUAUAGCAUCGCAUGAUGAUAUUAUUUGAUCAGACUAGCUACAAGUAUGGUUUCACUUCUUUGCACUAGUACUGAUUUUAUUAGGCAAAUGCGUUACAGAUUCAGUAGUGGGUGAGUUUACAUCCCCACGAAAUACAUUAGCACAAAAUAUGUUUUCAUCCCGAUUCAAAUCAGAACUGCAAUGCUCAAUUGCUGAAAAUACUUGAACUGGUUAUUGGAGAUUAGGUUUUGAGAGCUAGAUGUUACCAAAAGUAAGAGUGGCCAAAAUAGGACCAACGCGGCCACUGCUCAGGUUUCAGGUGUUUGCCAUGACGGUUUCAGAUGUUUGCCAUGGACCGCAGCGGGUGCCGCCUGCGUCGAUGUUUACCUCCACGACCUCCGCCUGAGUGCCCGUCUCGAUGCCAGGGUAGCUCCCAACAGAUGGCUAUGCUCGCUGUCCAAAUCCACCGGAUCGCACAGGCCAGAGCGUGCACGAGAGGCGGCGGUGACCGGAAAUGUCCUUGUCAAGAUUUGCGGAUCGAGACUUAGACUAGUAAAUUUCUUUUAUGCGCGUAAGGCUUCGGAUGGUGGCGUGGGAGACACGAGGUUAGACUGGUUCGGGCAAAAGGAGGCCCUACGUCCAGUAUCGAGGCUGCUCGUGUUACCCACGCGGGGUUCUGUAGUAGGGGUUACAAACAGGCGAGAGAGGGAGCCGGUCCCAGGUCUCUUGGGUGUGCGCUGAUGCUCGUGAGGUGAGUGUGUGGGUUCUGUUGGCUUGAGAGUCCUCCUGGUCUCGGGGCCCCUGGUUCUCCUUUUAUAGCGCAAGGAGGGCUCAGGGUUACAGGUGAGCCGGGUGUGUGGAGAAGUAAAAGAGAUAAGCUAAGUAAAGUAAAAUACAAGGAGAAGAACCAAGUCCCCGGAUUGCCGCCUCCUGCUCCGGCCUUCGGCUUCUGUCAGUGCGACCACCGGAGGAGGGCGGCUGUUGUCAGGUCUUGUCGCCAAUCCUCCGUGCGACCGUUGCCGCCGAGCAUGAUGAUGAUGCUCGGCCGCAAUAAUCGGGCACGUUGGGGGAGACGGCUGACCCCUAUAGUCCUGCUUACCUCCCGUGGAACACGGACGUCGCGUCCCUAUCGCCGGAUAGGCCGAGCGCGAGAACGGGCGGCGCUCCCUCCUGUGCCGGGCGACGCAUGCAAUGAGUGCCCUAUGGCGAAUCAGGGGGAGCCGCGGCCACUGUAGCCUGCGCGGUCGUGGCUACAGUGUUCCGUCCGGGUACUUGUGGCAGGUCACGUCGAGGGGCGCGGGCGCCUUUCUGCGCGCUAGAACCGCGGCGCAUUUAUGGCAAGAUCGGUGGGGGGCCCACGGGAUCCGCGCCCUCUUCUGCCGGUCUGCGCCCGAGGCGGACCCUAUUCCUGUGGGCCCGGGUGAGUCCGACCCCCGCGCCCAGGGUCGGGCGAGGCGGAGUUUCUGUGGUGGGGGUCGGGCACUCCUGACCCCGGUCCCCUGGGUCAGGCGAGGCGGAGUUUAAUCUUCUAGGGGUCGGGAGCGUCCGACCUCGGGACUCCCGGUCGGGCGAGGCAGAGUUUAGUCUUCAAGGGGUCGAGAGCGUCCGACCCCGGGACUCUGGGUCGGGCGAGGCGGAACGUGGCCUCUCCCUUUCAUAUUGGGCUGACGGCAAUUUUGCCUCCGCAGGUGGGCCUGGGCCUUCAUGACUGUUGCCUUAAGCGGCAUUAGGAGGUCGUUAAUAUUUCCCCCAAACAGUAGCCCCCGAGCCUGUGGUGGAGCAAAGAUGCUCCUCCAGAGGCUUUUUUCGUCGCUCGUCGGGGAUCUCUACUCGCCCUGCAAGCUGCGGUUGAUCAGGGAUAGGGAGUGUUGUUGGUCCGGCUUGGCCAGGGAGUUUGAUCAGGAGAGGUGUCCUAUGGAUGACUUGGCGCGGGAGGACUCCUCAUUGCUCCGUAGGGCGCUCCCGCCUCGAGUCCUCAAAUCGCGACCACACGCGUGGUCAUGGGUUGCGACGCUAGCCCCCGAGCCCCCGCGCGUUGCAGGAGACCGAUCGGGAGGCUAGAUCGGCUUUUGAUCGUUACCCCUCAAGCAUCCGUUCGCUGGGACGGAGGGGAUGAGCCGUGCCACACUAUCCUCGUUGGACGAACCGUGGUGCUCGUUGAGCUGCGAACGGGUCGGUUCGAGUGGAGUCCCGGUCCCCGUUCGGGAGGGUCCGGCUCGGGCCAAGCUGGUGGCGUACUCCAGAUUCCAGCUGGCCAGUUCAUAUAGUUCCUGAGUCCGUUCGAUCGGAUUCGGGGGCUCGUUGCCUUUCUUCGGGGAAAAACCAUGAACUUAGACGCCAGCCCGGGCUCGAACGUGAGGUCGGGACACCCCUGGCUUUCGCUCGCCUGGGUGGUGGCCGCUAGCGGACCCGUCACUUCUCACCCCUUGCUCGUGGGCAUCCAGAGGCGGCUGUCGAACCCGCAGCGGGCCAGCAUUCGAACCUCUGGAUCGUAAUGGGCCGUAGGGGCGUUUCCAGCCCCGUAUCCCUCAUUACCUUUCGGUGGGUCUUUCCGGGUGGUUCUUGCAGACGAAAUCGCCCAGCUGAGGGAGCUACUCGACGCGGAGCGUGGUGAGCACGGCGCCCUGCUGGAUGUGGUCCGCGUCGUCAGCGACGGACUCGGCGUGGUUCAGGGGGAGGGGUCGAGCUCGCUGAUGGCUCGUGUCCUCGGGAUGUACCGUCAGGCCCGCGAGAUCGCCGUGGAUGCGCUCCACACCGGCGUGCGGCAAGCCUUCGGGGUCUUCGGCUCCCCAUUACUUUGGCAUCAACUUCGCCGGGAUGAGCAGAGGGUAUGCCGCCGGCUACUCCGAGGGUCGAGAUGGAUGAGAUCGAUGCGUUCGGUGUUCAACCCAGCGGAGGCCCUUGGCGAAGCUCUUGGGAGGAUGAGGCCGUCCCUCCCGAAGAUCCCCCGAUGAGCUAACUGUAUUGGGCUGGCGCCCAAGUUGUAAAUACGUUAGUUCCAAACUCGUUUUGUAACGGCCAUGGGGGCCUUUUCCAGAACUUGUCGUAAAAAAGUUUCCGAUCCUCUUUCUCGUUUCCGGACUUGGAAAGUUUAGAGCACGUUGUCGGGUAUGUCAGUAAGCGUUGAUGGGCGAAAGGCACCGUAGCCGCGGGGGCGUAGGUCUUUCGUAGUCCGAUCAGUCUUGCCUGAACGCCGUUCGUGCGCUCUCUCCUUUUCACAUCCGAAAGUUCAGAGGGAGGAUCGACUCGGAAGGAAAAAAAUGUUUUUUAGAUGGUGCCAAGUGGCUUGAGCCGGAGCCCCUAAUAGCCCCCGAGGGAUAUGCGACCCUGGAGCGAAGCCAGGGUCGGAUAUCCCUGAGCUCGACGGAAAAAGCUUGAACAGAACCGGCUUGAAAUUCCUUUUUCCGUAAAAAGAAAUCUUUGAUUUUACAGAAAAGUUUAUGUACAGAACUUGGAAAUGAAAACUAGGGGUAGAAAUGCCUUAGCUGUUCUAUGUUCCAAGCAUUGCCGAAGAUCUGCCCGUUGGGGGUCGCUAGCUUGUAGGUGCCUGGCCGUAGUACUUGCGCGACGAUCAAAGGACCUUCCCACGGGGGAGUCAGCUUGUGCCGACCCCUGUUAUCCUGGAUGAGGCGGAGCACCAGGUCGCCAACGUUGAAGGCUCGGCCUUGCACCUUGCGGCUGUGGUAAUGUCGUAGGGCCUUCUGGUAUUUGGCCGAGUGUAGCAGGGCCACAUCGCCCGCCUCAUCGAGCUGAUCUUGUGCGUCUUCGAGCGAUGCCUGGUUCCCUUGUUCGUCGUACGCCUUGACCCUCGGCGAUCCGUAUUCCAGGUCGGUGGGCAGGAUGGCCUUGGACCCGUAGGCCAUGAAGAACGGGGUGAAGCUAGUCGCCCGACUGGGGGUUGUCCUCAGGCUCCAAAGGACUACGGGAAGCUCGGCGACCCACCGUCCGCCAAACUUUUUGAGGCGGUCGAAGAUCCGUGGCUUGAGACCUUGGAGUAUGAUGCCGUUGGCUCGCUCGACCUGCCCGUUCGUGCGAGGGUGUGCUACGGCCGACCAGUCUACCCGGAUGUGGUGGUCGUCGCAGAACUGGAGAAAUUUCUUCCCAGUGAACUGCGUGCCGUUGUCGGUGAUGAUGGAGUUGGGGAUUCCGAAGCGAUGGAUGAUGUCGGUGAAGAAUUGUACCGCCUGAUCGGAUUUGAUUUGCGCGACCGGUCUUGCUUCGAUCCACUUAGAGAACUUGUCGACGGCGACAAGUAGGUGGGUGAAGCCCCCAGGCGCUUUCUUGAAGGGCCCGACGAGAUCCAGCCCCCAGACCACGAAUGGCCACGUGAUGGGAAUGGUCUGGAGCGCUUGCGCGGGCAGAUGAGUUUGGCGCGCAAAGAACUGGCACCUUUCGCAGGUGCGGACUACUCGGGUAGCGUCGGCGACCGCCGUCGGCUAGUAAAAAACCUUGCCGGAAGGCGUUGCCGACGAGGGUCCUUGGCGCUGCGUGGUGGCUGCACGCUCCAGCAUGGAUGUCCUAGAUCAGUGCCUUUCCCUGUUCGAUCGGGAUGCAGCGCUAGAGGAUGCCGGUGUGGCUUCUCUUAUAGAGCUCUUGAUCGAUAAUGGCGAAGGAUUUGGCGCGACGCGCGAUCCUACGGGCCUCCAUUUUGUUUGCCGGGAGCGUGUCGCGGAUGAGGUAAUCGAGGUAUGGGGCUCUCCAGUCGGUUGGGGGGUCGGGCCCCACCGCGGGGUCUGCCGCGAUUUCCAUGACCAUGGGGCUGGAGGGGUCGGCCUCCGGGGCUGAGUCGGGCGAAGCGAUGCCGACCCUAUCGGGGCUGGCGCCCGGGCCUGGGACAGGUGGCGCGCUGCCGAUCUCUCCUAGGUCGGGACCCGAGCCCGGAGCUGGUGGCGCUUCGCCAACCCUCACAGGUUCUUGGUAACGGAUUGAAGGCUUGAAUUGGUCGCUGAUGAAGACGCCGUCGGGGACGGGCAUUCGGCCGGAUGCUGCCUUCGCCAGCUCGUCGGCGGCUUCGUUGAAGUGCCUUGUGACGUGGUUGAGCUCCAGCCCGUCGAACUUGUCUUCAAGCUUGCGAACCUCGUUGCGGUAGGCUGCCAUCUUGGGGUCCUGGCAGCCGCACUCCUUCAUGACUUGUUCGACGACUAGCUGGGAGUCGCCCUGGAUGUCUAGCCGACGGAUGCCCAGCUCGAUGGCGAUAUGAAGCCCGUUGAGGAGGGCCUCGUACUCGGCGACAUUGUUGGAUGUAGGAAAGUGGAGGCGGAUCAUGUACCUGAUGCGCACGCCUAGAGGAGAGAUGAAGAUGAGGCCCGCUCCUGCACGGGCCCUCAUCAACGAUCCAUCGAAGUAUAUUGUCCAGUACUCCUGCUUUUCCGGCGCUGAUGGCGUUUGGAUCUCCGUCCACUCUGCUACAAAAUCGGCGAGUACCUGGGACUUGAUGGCGGUGCGGGGGGCAUAGGUGAUGCCCUGGUCUAUGAGCUCGAGCGCCCACUUCGCGAUCCGUCCCAUGGCGUCCUGGUUCCGGAUCACUUCGCCUAAUGGGAAUGACGAAACAACCGUUACCGGGUGGGAGGUGAAGUAGUGGCGCAACUUCCUCUUCGUGAUGAGGACGGCGUAGAUGAGAUUCUGGAUCUGCGGGUAGCGUGCCUUGGACUCGGACAAGACUUCGCUGACGAAGUACACCGGGCGUUGCACCUUGAGAGCGUGUCCCUCCUCUUCUCGUUCCACCACUAAGGUCGCGCUAACCACCUGGGUGGUCGCCGCGAUGUAGAGCAGGAGGGGCUCGCCGUCGGUCGGCAGGACCAGGAUCGGGGCCUUCGUUAGGAGGUCCUUGAGUCGGUCAAGUGCCUCCUGGGCCUCGUCGGUCCAUUCGAAGGGGUCAGUCUUCUUUAGGAGUCGAUAGAGAGGAAGCCCCCGUUCGCCAAGGCGCGAGAUGAAGCGGCUCAGGGCCGCUAAGCAUCCCGUGACGCACUGGACUCCUUUUAUGUUUCGGAUUGGCCCCAUGUCGCUGAUGGCCGCUAUCUUCUCCGGAUUGGCUUCGAUGCCGCGCACGGAGACGAUGAAGCCUAGCAGCAUGCCCCUUGGAACUCCGAAAACACAUUUUUCGGGAUUGAGCUUAAUACGCUUAUCCCUCAGCCUUUCGAAGGCUAGUUCGAGGUCAGGGAUGAGCUGGUCGCCCCUCUUGGAUUUGACUACGAUAUCGUCAACGUAAGCCUCAACGGUCCGCCCGAUGAGGUCCCCGAAACAUUUCAGCAUGCAUCGUUGGAACGUAGCCCCCGCGUUUUUGAGGCCGAAUGGCAUCUUGACGUAGCAGUAGGGGCCGAAGGGGGUGAUGAAAGAGGUAGCGAGCUGGUCGGAUUCUUUCAUUGCGAUCUGAUGGUAGCCGGAAUACGCGUCAAGGAAGCUAAGGGUUUCGCACCCGACAGUCGAGUCGACUAUCUGAUCUAUGCGUGGCAAAAGAAACGGAUCCUUUGGGCACGCCUUGUUGAGACCGGUAUAAUCAACACACAUCCUCCAUUUCCCAUUCUUUUUUCGUACAAGAACAGGGCUUGCUAGCCACUCGGGGUGGUACACUUUCUUGAUGAAUCCGGCCGUCAAAAGCUUCUGGAGCUCCUCGCCGAUGGCCUUGCGCCUCUCCUCGCCGAAGCGGCGUAGUCCUUGCUUCACUGGCUUGGAGCCGGCCUUGAUGUUCAAGGAGUGCUCGGCGACUUCUCUCGGAAUGCCGGGCAUGUCCGAGGGCUUCCACGCGAAGACGUCGCUGUUCGCGCGGAAGAAGAUGACGAGCGCGCUUUCCUAUUUGGGAGAUAGGGUAGCGCCGAUCCGCACGGUCUUGCCGUCGGAGCUGCUGGGGUCGAGGAGGACCUCCUUGACGCCUUCGGUGGCCUCGAAGGAGGUGGCCGACUGCUUGGAGUCGGGCUGGUCCUCGGCGUCCUCCGUGAGCUGGACCGCCAAAUCCCCUGUGAAGGUGAUGGCUGCGGCGUACUCGCAGCAUUCCACGUCGCACUCGUACGCCUUUUGGAAAGACGUGCCGACGGUGAUGACCCCGUUGGGCCCCGGCAACUUGAGCUUGAGGUAGGUGUAGUUGGGGAUGGCCAUGAACUUCGCGUAGCAUGGUCGCCCCAAGAUGGCGUGAUAGGUUCCGCGGAACCCCACCACCUCAAAGGUGAGGACCUCCUUCCUGUAGUUGGAACGGGUUCCGAAAGUGACGGACAAGUCGAUUUGCUUGAGAGGCAUCGCCUGUUUUCCCGGCACGACGCCGUGAAACGGUGCCUUGCUAGGGCGGAGCUGGGAGCGGUCAAUCCCCAUAGCGUCGAGGGUCUCAGUGUAGAGGAUGUUGAGGCCGCUGCCUCCAUCCAUGAGCACCUUGGUGAGGCGCGUCGUGCCGACGAUGGGGUCGACGACGAGAGGGUAGCGUCCUGGAUGCCGGACGCGUCUCGGGUGAUCGGACCGAUCGAAGGUGAUGGCUGAUCCCGACCAGUCGAGGAAAGCCGGCGUCGCCGGCUCGGCCGCGUAGACCUCUCGGCGCUCCAGCUUCUGGCGGCGCUUGGAGUCGUACGCCGCUGAGUCGUCGAAGAUCAUGAAGCAGCCGUCCACCUUGGGGCAGCCGUCUUCCUUCUCUUCGUCGCCCUUCUUCUCUUCAUCGGGCUUCCGCUUCCGGUCACCCUUCACUGGGUUGCCUACGAAGUACCUCUUCAUGAGGUUGCAGUCCUUGUAGGCGUGUUUCGCGGGGAACUCGUGGUUCGGGCACGGUCCCUCGAGCAACUUGUCGAAGAAGCCAGGAGUGCCUUCCGGGGGCGGCUGUCCUCGCUUGCGCUCGACAGCAGCUACGAGGGGGGUCUCGCGCCGCUGCUUGCCUUUCUUCUUCUGCUGGCGGUUGGAGGUGCCCUCGUCAGCAUCUUCCUCCCGCUUUGCCUUGCCUUUGGAGCGUUCGAAGAUCGCUCCAACGGCCUCUUCGCCCGAGGCGUAGUUGGUGGCAAUAUUGAGGAGCUCCUCUGUGGUUCGCGGGCCUUGGCGCCCUAGCUCGUGGACGAGGGGUUGGCAGGAGGUUCCCGCUAAGAAAGCCCCUAUGAUGUCGGCGUCCGCGACGUUGGAGAGCUCAGUGCGCUUCCUGGAGAAGCGUCGGAUGUAGUUCCGAAGGGACUCGUCCGAUCCUUGGCGACAGCUCCGGAGAUCCCAGGAAUUGCCGGGGCGCGUGUACGUGCCCUGGAAGUUUCCUAUAAAUAUCUACUUCAGGUCGUUCCAGCAGCAGAUCCAUCCCAAAGGGAUAUGUUCCAGCCAGGCUCGUGCCGAGUCGGCCAGGAAGAGUGGUAGGUUGCGGAUGAUGAACAGAUCAUCGUCCACCCCGCCGGUUUGACAUGCGAGCUGGUAGUUGCUGAGCCAAACCCCAGGGUUCGUCUCCCCCGAGUAUUUGGCUACGUUUGUCGGUUGCCUGAAGCGCGGCGGAAACGGCGCGUUCAGGAUGCACGCGGAGAAGGCCCAGGGCCCCGCCGGGUCGGGGCUCGGGCUGCGGUCUUCCUCGCUGUCGUAGCGCCCGCCGCGGUGGACGUGGUAGCCGCGAUCUACCCCGUUCUCCCUAUCCGCGCGGGAGCGCCUCCGCGCGUCCAGGGUGUCGUGGGCGUCGCGGACAGGGCUGACGCGUCGAUGAACGGAUCGAGCCCCGCCUCCCGCCGGCUCGGGGAGUUGCCGGAGUAGGACCGCCGCGGCAGCGAGGUUCUGGCUGGCGCGAGUGAAGAGCUGAGGGCGCUCUUCAUCCGCGCAGAUGCGCUGCUGGACGUCGCACGCCCGCUGUCGCGCUCCGCCUUCGUGGCGGGGGCGUUCGACCUCUUGGCGGGACACCGCGCGCGCCUCCGGCUGCCGAGGGCGCUCCGGAGCCUUGCCGAGAGCCCCGGUCGUAGCCGCGGCGCGCGAAGGGGGAGUCCUCUGUCUCCCUCCGGCACCAUCGUCGUUGGACCCCUCGGAGUGCACGUCGGCCAUGAAGCACUCACGUGAGGGGUGGUGGCUCCCGCUGUCGGAGCUAGCGUCGGAGAUUGUCCUCGCCACACCUGCGAGUUUGUUGCUCGCAGGCGACACGGUCAUGGACCGCGUCAGGAGGCGACCGUAGGUCACCGCGGCAUUGUGCAGCCCGAAGAGACGACCCCUGGGGAAGGGCCCUCCGGCGCGCGCCUGGCCGCUCGCCGCUGUCCCGGCGGCGGAGCCGGGGAUGGCGGGACGAGCGGGCAAGACGAGGAGAGGGAUCAGCUCGAUCCCCUCCCCGGUGGCGAGGAAGUCCAAACUCCCGAAGCGGAUCAGGGAGCCCGGAGCAAAGCUGGUGUCGUGGCUGGCCAUCCGAAGCUGGAGAUGUACGCGCAAAGGUCCCCUACCUAGCGCGCCAACUAUCGUUGUCAAGAUUUGCGGAUCGAGACUUAGACUAGUAAAUUUCUUUUAUGCGCGUAAGGCUUCGGAUGGUGGCGUGGGAGACAUGGGGUUAGACUGGUUCGGGCAAAAGGAGGCCCUACGUCCAGUAUCGAGGCUGCUCGUGUUACCCACGCGGGGUUCUGUAGUAGGGGUUACAAACAGGCGAGAGAGGGAGCCGGUCCCAGGUCUCUUGGGUGUGCGCUGAUGCUCGUGAGGUGAGUGUGUGGGUUCUGUUGGCUUGAGAGUCCUCUCGGUCUCGGGGCCCCUGGUUCUCCUUUUAUAGCGCAAGGAGGGCUCAGGGUUACAGGUGAGCCGGGUGUGUGGAGAAGUAAAAGAGAUAAGCUAAGUAAAGUAAAAUACAAGGAGAAGAACCAAGUCCCCGGAUCGCCGCCUCCUGCUCCGGCCUUCGGCUUCUGUCAGCGCGACCACCGGAGGAGGGCGGCUGUCGUCGGGUCUUGUCGCCGAUCCUUCGUGCGACCGUUGCCGCCGAGCAUGAUGAUGAUGCCCGGUCGCAAUAAUCGGGCACGUUGGGGGAGACGGCUGACCCCUGUAGUCCAGCUUACCUCGCGUGGAACACGGACGUCGCGUCCCUAUCGCCGGAUAGGCCGAGCGCGAGAACGGGCGGCGCUCCCUCCUGUGCCGGGCGACGCAUGCAAUGAGUGCCCUAUGGCGAAUCAAGGGGAGCCGCGGCCACUGUAGCCUGCGCGGUCGUGGCUACAGUGUUCCGCCCGGGUACUUGUGGCAGGUCACGUCGAGGGGCGCGGGCGCCUUUUUGGGUGCCAGAAUCGCGGCGCAUUUAUGGCAAGAUCGGUAGGGGGCCCACGGGAUCCGCACCCUCUUCUGCCGGUCUGCGCCCGAGGCGGACCCUUGUCCUGUGGGCCUGGGUGAGUCCGACCCCCGCGCCCAGGGUCGGGCGAGGCGGAGUUUGUGUGGUGGGGGUCGGGCGCUCCUGACCCCGGUCCCCUGGGUCGGGCGAGGCGGAGUUUAAUCUUCUAGGGGUCGGGAGCGUCCGACCCCGGGACUCCCGGUCGGGCGAGGCGGAGUUUAGUCUUCCAGGGGUCGGGAGCGUCCGACCCCGGGACUCCGGGUCAGGCGAGGCGAAGUUUAGUCUUCAAGGGGUCGGGAGCGUCCGACCCCGGGACUCCGGGUCGGGCGAGGCGGAACAUGGCCUCUCCCUUUCAUAUUGGGCUGACGACAAUUUUGCCUCCGCAGGUGGGCCUUGGCCUUCAUGGCUGUUGCCUUAAGCGGCAUUAGGAGGUCGUUAAUAUUUCCCCCCAACAGGAAGGAAGAAGGGUGCUGACAAGAUCCUUUUUAGUUUUUCGCUGGCGAUGGACCACUUGACAGAGCCCAACGAUUUGCGCGUCCCACACAACUAUGGUUGCAUGUGGAAAUUUCACCGCCACAACUGACCGUGCGAUCUGUUAAUAUGAUUGCGAAACAUACCCGAAAUUGUGUAUUGUUUCAUUCAUUGGUUCAUUGCUGACAGCGAUUCAUCGGGCCGGUCGUGGUGAGGCUGGUCACUUAGCAUUUUUAUUUAAAAGGCGCACAUGCAUAUCAAGAUUUAAACUUUGCAAUGUUUGACUAACAAUUUUUUUAUUUUUAUAAUGUACACUUUAUAUUCUCGGAUUCGUAACCAAAUAUACUCUAUAAUAAUUAUAAAUUUAUAACCAUAAACAAUAUAAUAUAAGAUAAAUGAAUGGUCAAAGUGCUAUUUGGAAGAUCAUGCUAAGUCGUAACAUGCCUUAUAAAUAUAGAUGGAUUGGUGCAGGUUUUUCUAAUUUGAUUUGGCUUAUACUCCCUCUGUCCCAAAACAUAUUUGUAUGUGAAUGUGCAGGUGGCAGUCAAUUAGAAUCAAAUAUGGCUAAUAAAUAGGAGCAAGCAAAAUCAUCUCAUAUUUUUGUUAAUUUAUCCUACAUUUUUUAGGAUGGUUUGUUUUUUUUUUGAAUAGAGGUAGUAUUGAUCGAUACUCCGACAUUUUAAUCCAUUUUUAGUAACACUGUUUAUGUAUCAACAAAGGUGAAAGUUGGCCCACCAGAGAGAAGAUGAUGAGCCAAGAGGAGUUACCUGCACUAUGAGUUGAGUGGACUAGCAGACAGUAAUAGAUAGACUCUUGUACUCAAGUUGUGAUGGAGUAUUAUUCUAUGGUUCAAACCAAACCUUUUCAUGGGUAUCUAACUCGGAUCUAGUUUGGGAGCACAAUGAUAGGUGCGAGUGGGCUGCCACCCAGACUAGGUUUCGAGGAGGCAGGGGGAUAAAAAAUGAUGUGAUGUGGGAUGGAAGAUAGUAGGUUCCACCUAUGUGAUCAAUAUUCUCAAGGGCAAUUUAGUCUAUUCAUCAAUAAUCUAACAUGCACUCUAGUUGAAAGUGAGAUGGAAUUGAUGGAAAUGUUAAACGAGGUAUGAAAGUUUUAACACUAAAAAAUGGCACAUGAGAAGUUGGAAGAAGAUAUACAAAGAAUGGCUUGGAUUAAAAGGAAGAUGGAGUAAAAAUACACAACAAAGUCAUUAAUGGAUUUCUCUCAUCGAAACAAUCCGUUGGACAUAUGGAUGACCUAAAUUGGACAGUGAAUGUGAAAGUUAUGGGGAUUGAGAGAUGACAUGAACAAUAAUACAGUAUCACCUGAUUGAUUUGGUGCGGUGGUGUUUUCGGCGGUUCCCAAUGCGUCAUACUGCAUGAUGGACUUUACUACCAGAUAGCUCUCCUCAUGGUGAUCAAAAUGGACAUGUAGAUGAACCUAGGGAGUUAUGUUCGACUACAGGUGACACGCUACAAUUGAUUGGUCUUAGUUAUAAAUUGAGCAUCAAAAUGCUCGGUCGUUACAGAUAGUUUGGGGAUUUUCUUCCAUAGUAGCACCGCUUGAUUCAGUCAUUCUUUGCUAAAUGAGCCGGCCAUUUCAUAGAGUCGAGAGGUUGACCAAUAGUAAGAUCGAUUGAUAUGGUGCUACUAUAGCAAAAUGGGUCGGUCAUUCCAUAGAGAUUGAGAAGGCUUCUCUAACCUCACCGAUUGAUUCGGUCAAAUACAUUGGUCCUUCCACCGAAUGAGUCAACCGUUCUAGAGCUGAAUCUGAGCCGAGCCAAUGAGCAGCGAUCGAUUCAAUCAGGCCUAGCCCUAAGGCAUCAACAAAUGGAUCGGUAGUUGUUCCAAAUUAUGGAUUUCGACGUGUUUUCUAGAUUUAUUUUGUUUGAGGGUUUUCUUAGCCCAUGUAUUAUUGGUUCGUGACUAUUUGAUUCUCCCCUUAUCUUUUGGACGGCACCAACUAUCGGUGCGGAAUCUGGCCGACAAGUAAGUGUUAGUAGUUUUGCCGUGCAUUAGAUAGGAUAUGGCCUAGCACACAAUGACACAGGAUGUAUACUGGUUCGAGCAAUAGGCCCUACGUCCAGUCGGAGUUGGUUGGUUGACUAUAUUGCCAAGCCUAGGUGCUCAAAGUUUGCAGUGGGGGUACAAAUGAGAGGGAUGAGAGGGGACGUCCGAGACCUGGUCGUGCUCUGGUCCGAGUGGGAGAGAGUGACUGGGGGCUUAGACGUGCGCUAUGUGUUCGAGAGUGCGCGCGCGUGUGGAAUGAGUAGAAGUGUCUACUUAUAGAACCUGUGUUCAAACGGGGAGGGCCCGUUCCUUUUAUAGUACAAGGGGAUAGCCUUACAAGUCAGAGAGAGAGUACGGGUGCUGCCUAGUCUUAUCGAGGCCCACGUCGUCAGGUACGGUAUGUUCGCCGUCCUUGGUCCCUGUUCAUCUCGUCAGGCCACUCCGUUGUAGCGGGUAGAUUGCGGCAGCACUGUGCGGGGCGUACGCAGAGCGUGGUGCGGUACGGUUCCUUGUACGGUAGUUGAUCUGGGCGCUUCCUCUUAUCCGUUCCACCUACUCCUAGGCCCACACUGAGGGGGCGUCCCCGGUCGAUUGUCCUAGUCGGCCCCGAUCGUGCCGGUCGGGGGGAGUGGUGUGGUUAGUACGACGCAUCUCCGGUCGGGGGAACUCGGUCGGGGUUAGACGGUGGUCCCACCCCCGACUGGACCCUUCUGGUCGGGGCGCCGACCAGGCAUCCUAGUCAGAGGAGCCGGUCAGUGGCCGGAUCUUGGUUGGCCUGCGUUGCGUUGCUGGGCCGAUCCAGGUACGCGUUGUCGCCGCACCUCUUACUGGGCCAAGUGCUGCAGGGAGAUCUUAUUGGGGACCCCGGGUCUAUGGACCCAUCACCGUACCACCCCACGUAUACUUGAGGGGUGUAGGCUAAUCGAAUCAACCCUAUCAAAUCUAUCAAUACAAUUACUUUUUUCCCUUUACUGACUUUUCCAACCCCAGUUGCUGUUGGUUUUUUCAUCUCCACGAUGAUCUACAACGUCCUAGCUAACCUGCUGAGUCUAGGGCACUCCAUUGACCGCCACAUCCUGACAGGUCCCUCUCAGGCACGACAGAUUCAAGAUGCUCGUUGUUGAAGGUACAUGUUGUGUCUUUAGUGUAAGGUAUGUUUUUAUAUGCCAACAAUACGGAAAGAAAACAUUUUCAUUGUCGAACUGUCGAUCGAAGUAAGGCAUAUAAAUUUUCUCAUUUUUUUUUGCCAUGUCAAACCUUUAGGCAGCAUCAGAGGAAAUAAAUAGCAGUUGACUCGUGAUGUACAACCAAAGGAAAAAGUUUGUAGGAUCAAGUUCCACCACUGAAAUGGCAUGUUCAUGUUUGGAAUGGAUGAAUCAGCGUUAUUGAGGCUUUGACUUUUCUUCUGCCCCAAAGAAAAAUCAGAGUGCAGUUGUUAAUAUUUAUCAGGAAAUUAUUUAUAAAUAUAUAAAUACCAUUUUCCACACUGGUAGAGAUCAGACACUACUAGUACAGUACCACUACCAAGUUCUACCUUUCCAAAGAAAUCAAAGAAACCUCCGAUCACAGAGGAUACUACUCCUGCGGCUACACCGAUCUGAAAAUCUCCUGCCAAGGCGAAGGGGCGAGCGUGAUCCCGGUCAUCCGUCUCGGCGGCGAAAACUACACCGUUCAGGACAUCUCCUACGAGAGCGGCAUCGACGGUUACAAAGUUAUUCUGGCGGACAGCGACGUGCUCGUCGGCGGCAAUUGCCCCGCAGUCCGCCACGGCGUCACCUUCGACGACGUGUGGCUGCAUAACACCAGCUCCACCGACGGCCUCACCUUCUACUUCGGCUGCUACUCACGCGGGCCCCCAUGCCGGCUGGAUUGCACAAAUACCAAAUCGACUGCAACAGUUUGAGAGUCCGGUUCCUGGCGGCGGAGUUGCAUUUGUAUUUACACCUGAUGAUCAUGACAAAGCCCAAGAGCACGACUUGGCUGCAGACUGCAAGGAGGUUGUCUCUGUGCUAGUAAAGAGUGAGGUUCUGAUGGAUAUGGCAAGUAACUGGACCAAUUUCACAAGGGAUGGAUAGGGGACGUGCUGAAGCAGGGGUUCGAGUUGAGCUGGAGCCGUAUCACGAUGGAUCAGUGUCCCCUGUGCGAGAAGUGCUCCUACAGCCAGAACAAGACAUUCCUGGGUUGCUUGUGCUCCAACCGCAAGGUGGGCUACCCGGACUGCAGACCAAGUAAGUCUCCAACACUUAACAUUCUGUUUCACUUCCUUCAUUUUUGCAAUCACCACACCACGCGCAUUCGAGAUUUCCGGGAUGCAUUAGUAAUUUCCAUCUGUUUUAGCUAGCCUCCUUGUGCCCGUCUCCGUAGUGUGCGUGCCCCUCUGCUCCUAAUCAUGCUGCUCGCCUCGAGCUAAUGAUGAAAGUUGGACCUGACCUUGUCUGAAAUUCCUUGAGUUCGCCUGGAAAAUUAGUUCCUGGGUAGGUAUAGAACUGGAAAUCCUGGUUCGUGUUUUCAUCAGUCGACAAAGAUGGUUUGCAGCCUUUCUUUCGUCUGCUUUUGCACCAAAUCCGUGCUUUUCUCAUGAACGAGAUUCAUCAGGCGGCCCGGCGGCCUGCCGUGCUCCACAGCAUUUCGUAGAUCAGAGGACAGUACGUCCCCUGUGUUUUGCAGCGUGGAACAAGUGCAGGAUACUAAACGCAGCCCCCAAGACCGGGUUUGCAUCGCCGAAUGGAGAAGUUCGUUAGCAUUUGGUAGCUCUAGCAGCCAGGCGACCCUUUUUUUUUGGGUGGGGGGUGUCUUGCACGUCCAGAACAGGGUAACCCUAAUCACCCGACAGUCCAUUCCCAUCCCCGCGACUUUCAAAAAUAAAUUGAAAAGUUUAACUUUUUAUUUUCAAAAUAUCAUAACUUAUACAUAUAACUUCGAUGCAUAACUUCAUAAUAUAACUUCUUAUAAGGUAAUUUUUUAGCACUUCAAUAGCGUGUAGAACUUACACGUACAACUUCUAGAUACAAUUUGUAAGAAUAACUUCGAAUUUUAUUUUUUAUAAAGUUUAGCAUAACUUUUUUCUAACAACAACUUAGAUGAUAAUUCUAUAAUACAACUUUAAUGAUAUACAACUUAUACUCGUUAUAUUUGUCAUAAUUUUUGGGAGAAUGUUGUUUAAAAAUUUAUGCACAUAACUUACACAUAUACUUGGUACAAAUUGUAGAAAAAAUAAUUGAAGAAAGGAAAAAAGAAAAAAAUAAUAAUUGAGCCGGAGCGUCGGGGACGGCACUGGAGCCGAGGCUGCGGCAGCGACGGCGGAAGAGGCGAGGCGAACCAGACGGAGUCAAUUUCGUCCGCGGACAAGGAGGACGCGUACGCCUGCUACGUGGGCCUCCCGUACCUGCGUUUUCCUCAGGGCCGGUCCCACAGAAGACGUGGCUGCCUGUAACAGGCAGAGACGCGGGAGAGCUCCCGGAGGCGUGCAAAUCUUACAGCGUUGUAUCUCUACUUAUGCACUAUGCAGCCGAGAUCGCAGAUCAAACGGCUUGACACAAACCAUGGCUCACCUACCACGUUUCCUCCCCGUCAUCCUCUUCCCCUUCGUCUCCCUCGUCGCCCAUUGCCCCGCUUCCCAUGGCACCCCUCUUCCGCCCACCUACGACGUUUCCAUGUGCGUGGAGUCGCCGAUCUGGUGCGGCGGCGUCGAAAUCCACUACCCGUUCUACCUCGCCAACUCGACCGCCUACCACGGCGCACCCUUCUCUUGCGGGUACACCGACCUGAAGAUAGCCUGCAAGGACGACGGGGAAACGCAGACCCCCGUCAUCCACCUCGGCCGAGACGACUACACGGUCCAGAACAUCUUCUACAACAACAACAGCUUCCUGCUGGCCGACGCCGACGUGCUUCGCGGCGGCGAUUGCCCCAGGGUCCGCCACAACGUCAGCUUCGACGAGGCGUGGCUGCAGUUGCGCAACACCAGCUCGCACGACAAUCUCACCUUCUUCUUCGGCUGCUUCUCCAAGCAGCCAGGCGGCGGCGAUCCUCGGCCGCUCGGUUUCGACACGGAUAAGUACCGGAUCAACUGCACGGGGUUGGGGAACGCACCUGGUGGCGGAGCCUCGUUCGUGUUCGCCGCCGAAGAGCUCGACAACGCCCAAGAGUAUGAGUUGGCCGCGCACUGCGGGGAGAUCGUCACCGUGCCGGUACGAAGCGAGGUUCUCGAUCUCAUGGCGAGUGAUCAGUCCAUGUUGGCGAGGGGUGGAUACGGCGGCGUGCUAAGGCAGGGGUUCGAGCUCGCUUGGACCCGGAGCACCAAGGAUCAAUGCUACCGGUGCGAGAACUCCGGCGGGCGAUGCGCCUACGGCUACGCCAAGGCUUUCCUCGGUUGCUUGUGCAGCGGGAAGGUCGGUGACCCGUACUGCAAAAACAGUAGUGCCAGCACAGUACAACCGCCAAGUAAGUCCUCCAGGCUCCAGGACCCAUCCUUCGAUUUUACCCCUCGUUUCUGCGAUCACCAGACGCGUUCCAGUAGCUUGUCGCGUUUGGUGCUUUCUUGGCUUCUUGUCCCCGCUGCUGCUGCUUCUCUGUUUAGGCCCGCGAGUUUUUUUUUUUUGAUAAAUGGUCCGCGAGUAGUUAUAGUUUGACUGAAAAAUACCGCGUGGGUAUGUAGAAAAGAUAGGAAUUCCAAUUCGCAUUUCCUCAUUCGGUACCCCGUUUUGUUCUUUUUCUCGAACGAGAUUCAUCAGGCGGCCCGGCGUACUCCACAGCGUUUCGUAGAGCAGAGAACCAAACUGUCCUUCCUUUCAGUCUGAACUCCAAAACAAGAGUCAGGUUACUACCCACUGCUCACUGAAUUCAUGCCGAAAGUGUGAAACACAGCCUACACACCUGGUUUAAUUGGCAUCGCUGAAUUGAGAAGUUAGCUAGCAUUGGCUAUGGUAGGCAAAUGACCAGAAGCGUUUUUUCCUUACACGUGUGAUACUUGAGUUGCUGCAGGCUCUUCGUUGGAGCCACAGCACAUUGGCCGUGAGAGCAGAGACCGCCAUGCGAGUACCCCAAACGCUAUGUUUGGUCCAAAUUCAAGACGUGUUGCUGAGGUCGGAGAAAUUGCGUUCACUGAGAUAGUUCGACUACGGUGGUUCCCAAAACUUUCUAACUGCUGACCACUCCGGACCAUUGAACGCAAAUCUUCUAGUGAGAAUACGUACAUGAAUAUGGAUCCAGAACCAAGGACGCGACCUUUCUUUCUUCCAAGGGCGUUAGCCAAUGGAAAACGCGCGAGUGUGACUUCGCCAAGGCAGAGUAAUUGCCUAAUUGGCAUCUUGCGAGACCCAGCUGGUCACGGUCAGCCACGGCUCUUUGCCGCACUUUGCCGCCAUGUCCCUCUCGUCGGCAACCCGGCCGCCGAUCGACCUUGAAACUCAUCAGGCCCUCGCAACCUUAUAAACGGAGGCCGGCCGCCACCAAACCAGAGGGGGAAAAAAGUAGCCUGACCUGUUUAGGUUUAGCCAUGGCUCUCUUGCUACGGCACCGGCUGCUGCUGCCGCCGCUGCUUCUCCUUGCCAUCUUGGUUGCCGCUUCCCAUGGCGCGCCUUCCAGCGGGGGCGAUAGCUACGACACCUCCAUGUGCGUGCGGCAACCUUACAACUGCGGCAACGUCAACAUCAGCUACCCGUUCUAUAGCAAGAUGGAAACUCUCCUGGGAAACGACAGCUCGUACUGCGGCUACCCUGGCAUGGAGAUUCAGUGCGAGGAAGGCCGAGCCUUCCUGGAACUCGACAGUGGCAAGUACACCGUCUCGCGCAUCGACUACGAGCCCCCCGGAGUCUGGCUUGCUGAUCCUGAUGUCCUCAACGAGGGGAGCUGCCCCAGAGCCAAUCACAACGUGACGCUCGGGAAUGUCUCAUGGCUGGACUAUCCUAACGACACCGUCGAUUACCUCCUCUUCUUUAUCAAUUGCAACUUCCUCUCCGCCCCCGACAUCACUCGGCCACCGUCAAACACGACCUCCACCUGCAAAUUCGAUGACGAGCCGGCGUAUGGGAUGUCUUUUGUGUUUCGGGAGGAAGACGUGCCGUACCAGGACACGAAUUGGUGGCAGGUGUGCGGCAAAGUUAUCGAAGUGCCUGUGCUGAAAUCCGGUCUCCCUCCCGAUCCACAAAAUGAUCCUAGAUGGAGGAACGGUGGGUACGGCAGCAGUCUUCGUGAAGGAUUCCAGUUGGCAUGGCACCAAGAGCGCAAGGCCUCCGCGUGUGACCAGUGCGAGCGAUCCAAGGGGCAGUGCGGCUACAACCAGAAGGGGGGACACGUAGCAUGCUUGUGCUCCGGCGGGCGAGUCGGCGCUCCCAAUUGCUCCUCAGGUAAGCCUCUAGAAGCUUUUGCUCUGCUUUUCCAAACUGCCCGGGGAUUACUGGUUACUUUGCUUCAAUUCAUCGUACCGUCCUUCAUUUUGUUUUCUCUACAAUCGUUCUCCCUUUUUAGAUCUCUGUAGAGACUAGGGUCAAAGGUCCUUUUUAGGGCAUUUGUUAAUUGAUGAACAUAAAACUGUUUUGAACUUAAGUAAAAUUUGUCCACCUUCUCUAUAAUUGCGUUUUUUUUUGGAUCCUUGAAUUAGCAAGAUAUAUGGAAAUGGCAAAGUUUCUGGUGAAACUAUACGGAAUGUCUGUCACAACUCACAUGCAACUCUUUGUGUACAUCAAUCAACCGACUUGGAUCAUAUGAGUCCUAAGUGGACAACCACAUAUCUGAUGACUAUAGGUGACUAGCGUGCAUUCAUGGUAGUGACUGGCAACAACCUACCAAUGGAUUCCCUGCUAUCUAUGUUACUAUGUACAUGUUCAUUAUUAGGGGGUGUUUGGCAGGGAGGGGCUAAAUUUUAGCUCCUAUCACAUCGGAUGUUUGACACUAAUUAGGAGUAUUAAACAUAGUCUAAUUAUAAAACUAAUUGCACAACCCCUAGGCUAAAUCGCGAGAUGAAUCUAUUAAACCUAAUUAGUCCAUGAUUUGACAAUGUAGUGCUAUAGUAACCAUUCGCUAAUGAUGGGUUAAUUAGGCUUAAUAGAUUCGUCUCGUGAUUUAGUCUAGGGGUUCUGCUAUUAGUUUUAUAAUUAGCUCAUAUUUAGUUCUCCUAAAUAGCAUCCGUGUGAACGUGUGAUGUGAUAGGACUAAAGUUUAGCCCCUGACAUCCAAACGCCCCCUUAGUGUCAAUUUCCAAAUCUUUCAAAAGGCUUGAAGCUACAGCCCAUUUUCCUUGUGUUGUUGAUCUAACACGGUUCCUCUUGUGUCGGUCACCUGCUUUAGGAUGGUAGAAUAUUCUUAGCUCUGUAAGACGACUAUAUAUGCCAUUUCUGUACACUUAUGUGCUUCUUUGCUUAUGUAAUUGCAGGACUUGAUGCUAAGAAAACUAUAAUCGGUAAGCAACCUCUAUCUUGGGUUCACUUUCAGUGUUUUUCCUGUGUUUAUUCCUAUACUAAUCUGUUGCUAAGUCUGCUUUACAUGUGCCUAUAUAAUCUGCACCCAUCUUCAUUUUGUCCAAAAGACCAGACAUAUGGCUAAUUAUUGGCAUGCCGUGUUUUAAAGGAAGCUAGAAAUGAUGGAUAGAAGUUGAAAAACAAGAUUGGAGUACCACACACUCAUCUUAUAUAGCCACCUCCUCCAAAGAAAUCAAGAGCAAAAUCUUCUCCCUUAGAUUUGGUAUUUUUGGAGCUUUUCCUGAGCUCUUCUUAGGCAAGCUCCAAAUGGAAGGUAUCCUGGUGAAAAAGAUGUCUGUGGCCUUAAAUGGACGGGCUCUGUGCUGGCGGGCCACAUAAGCCAACCGCCAACACAGAUGGGGUGUGCUGGCGGGUGCUUAGGUCGCCCGCCAAUAUAGUGGCCUCUGUGCUGGUGGGUACUCCCCCGCCGACACAAGGAAGCUUUGUGCUGGCGGAUACUAAUAAUAAAUUGCAUGUGCCAGCACAAAUCAAAUUGAAACUACUGCCUAUUUUCCUUGUGCGUUGUUGAUCUAACACGGUUCUUCUUGUUUCGUUCACCUGCCUUUUUCAUGAAGCCAUGUAAUCUGUUUUUGGGUGUACGGUAGAAUAUUGUUAGCUUUGUAAGAUGCUUAUAUAUGCAAUUUAUGUGCACUUAUGUGUUUCUUUGCUUGUGUAAUUUGCAGGGCAUGGUAAUAAGAAAACUAUAAUCGGUGAGGAACCUCAAUCUUGGGUUCACUCAAUGUUUUUCUUUUGUAUUCGUAUACUAAUCUGUUACAAAACCUGCUUUACAUAUGCCUAUAUAAUCUGCACCCAUCUUCAUUUAGCCUAAAAGAGCAGAAAACAAAGGCAUGGCACGCCAUGUUUUAAAAUCCAUGAUUCUCGCAAAUAUAUUAUUUUGGAAUCCACUGCCGGUGACAACAAUGGCGAAAAAUUAUAUCGUCCCUUUGGAAAAUAAACUUUCAAGUUUCCCUACUGACUGGCAAUAUAUGCAUUAUGCUUUGCAAAAUGGAUUUUUAGAACGCUUCGCAAAAUGACUGAACAUUGGAGAAGAAUUUUUAUCCAUCCUCUGGGAAAUAAACCUAUGUGUUUCCCUACUGACUUUGCAAAAUGAAUUUCUAGAGCACUUCACAAAAUGGAUUCACUUGUGAUGUCUUGUUGUGAUGCAGGUAUUGUUGCAAGCACAUCAAGCCUUCUAUUUCUGAGUCUACUUAUUCUCGCGUUCUUCUUGACCUGCAAAUAUGGUUCGCUGCCCUUUAAAUCAAACAACAAACCAAGGAUUGAAUCCUUUUUACAAAAGAAUGGGAACCUACAUCCUAAAAGAUACAAUUAUGCAGAUGUGAAAAGCAUGACAAAGUCUUUUGCUGUUAAGCUAGGCCA
rnacentral:lncRNA from 1 species